AGGAGGUGGCUGUGGGGGUGCGUUGUGCCUGCGUGCUGGUGUGCCGGCUCACCCUGAGGGCUUCAAAAUUCACCUCUAGUACCUGAGUCAGCUGCUUCUCUGGUUCAGGUGCUCCUUUGGUUUUUAAACCUUCCUAAGCAGGGUGCUUAGGCGCAUUCUGCGGGGUUGAGGUCCUUGCAGUCGCUUGGACUCCGUGAUAUCGUUGUUUAAAGACAUAAAAAACUGAAAUGUUGUCAGUUUGGAGAGCUGUGCUGUCAGCUUGCCUCUCCUUUAUCCCUUUUCCUACUGCUGUCAGCUUCACCGGUAUACAGCCAGUGCCUGAGUAAAAUGCAUGAAGAUGCAGUGGUACUCAACUUUGUUGAAUCAAGAACACGAUUGUGGAAAAAAUGCCCUUUGCUCACCAGGUAUGGCUCAUAGUUUCACAGUAAUUAUAUGCAAAGUGCAAGUGGGCAGAAAAGAGGUAAGAGACACUAAGACAAUACCAGAGUUAUUAAAGUAAUCCGGGACAAUCCUGAACAACUGAACUGUGUGUUGAAAUUUGAUUAUGAAGGUAGUUAUUUCAGAUCUUAAUCUAAAAUCCUGCCAUCGGUUAAGUUGAACCAGUUGCAAAUGUACUGCUCUGUACUGGAUUUGUUCAAACACUCCUUGAACUCCGGCACUCAGGGCCCUGUGCAACCCGUUCCAUGCCCACCAUGCAGCACCUGUCCCCAACCCCAGCUGCCCUCCCCUCACACAGCUCCAUGCCGCUCCCUCGGGCCCUGUCGUUGUCACACAGAGCAGAGCUCAGCGCUGCCCCUCCGCUUCCUGCGAGGAGCUGCAGCAGCCAUCAGGCCUCCCCUCGAGUUAGAGGUAGCAGGGCUGGUGAUGGGAGGAUGGCGGUGUAGCCGAGCGCGGCCCCGAGAAGCAGCGCCACCUCGUGACCAGCUUUGCUUUCAAACCGCGUGUCUGUGGGCUGCAGAGAAAGCGCAAACGCUGCCUCCUCCAAAAAAGUAUGCCAGCAGCUUGUUUGGUUCUCAGUACCGCAUAUUUUCCCGGAGAAGCAUGUAGAAGAAGAAUUAAUUAACCCUUUCUUAAAACUUUUUUUUGAUGCUCCUUCAAUUUUCUUCUAACUCUUCUGCUUAAUGAAUCGGUCAGGAUUAUUUGGUGCUGCUUCUUAAAUCUACUGAAUAUUACAGGAACAGCUGUGCUGGCUCACUGUAGAAGCUCCAGUCUCCCCCAGAACCAGAAAAUCGUAGAAUCAUUAAGAUUGGAAGAGACUUCUAAGAUCAUCUAGUCCAACCAUCAGCCCAUCACCACCAUGCCCACUAACCACGUCCCUCAGUGCACUAUCUUUGAAGGGCUGCAGGGUCUGGCUGUGGAUAGCAGGGAGUAGUUUUGGACAUCCUUUGGCUGUGUGUGUUCUACAGCGGAGUUGGUCUCUUCUCACUGGUGACAGGUGACAGGAUGAGGGGAAAUGGCCUCAAGUUUAGGUUGGAUAUCAGGAAACACUUCUUUACAGAAAGGGUUGUUAAGCACUGGAAUAGGCUCCCCAGGGUGGUGGUUGAGUCACCAUCCCUGGAUGUGUUUAAAAACCAUCUAGUUGUGGUGCUCAGGGACAUGAUUUAGUGGAGGUUGUUAGAGUUAGGAUAGUAUGGUUAGAUUGUAGUUGGAUUCGAUGAUCUUUAAGAUCUUUUCCAACCUGAGCAGUUCUUUGAUUCUACCUGCUCCACGGAGGCAGUUGCAUCGAGUUAGUGGGAGCCAUGGAGCCUGUCCACUUGUUUACAGUAAUGGUGAUAAACAUGCCUGUUGCAAGGAUAGAAGGAAAUGUGAGACCUGCAGUUGGCCAUACAUAACAGCAGAGCAAGCUUGUUAGGACUGCUCAGGCUGGAGUUCUGUUUGAUAUUCAGACUUUGCUGCCUCCUAAGAGGGUGAAAACCAUGAAGCUGAAAUUAAAAGAGGUUAUCUAAGUCUCAACCUGAUUUUUUUGGCAAGUCAAAAUUGUCCCUCAAAGAGGGGAGGGGACAGCCUUGCAGCUUGUGUUCUUCUGCUUCUUCCUAUAUUAAAGGGGAACACCACUGGGAUGUAUUUACUGCUUCCUUGAAUGCCUUCAAUAAACAAUAGACAUUUGUGAGGUCUCCCCACUAGGUCUCUUGGAAGGACUUUUGUCUUUUUAUUGUUGUUGUUGUUGCUUUUUCUUUUAUUUUCUGUUCUUACCAUCACCCCAUGCCUCUUUUUUUUUUUUUUCCUCCUCUGAAAAUUGGAAUUAUCAGUUCAUUUGUUCAUUUUGUUUCUGUUUUUAAAAUUCCUUUCUCUAUACUCUCCUCUCUGGAGGGGAGAGAGCAGGGGAUGUUUUUAGCCUGUGUUCAGGGGAGGGCCAGAACCGAUGCUCAUAUGCGGAUAUUUAGUGAAGAACUGAGGAAGUAUAUGAUAUCCUCCCUGAACCCUUUCCCAAGCUCUUCUAUUUUUGGUUCAUGGGGAGGUAAGAUACCCUGAGCCAGAUGUGCUCUUUAGUAGCCCUUGAUGAUCUAUGUAAUGAGCCUGCCUAGUAUGUAAUCCUUGAAUUGAUAUAAAUUUAGCAUCCACAAUAUCCUUUAUGAGCGUUUUGGGAUUCUGUUGCAAAGUUACACCUUUUUACGUGAAAUGAAAAGAAUAAACACAAACUUUGAUCUAAGGUCAAAAGAGUCAUUUAACAAAUGCAUUUUGACUAAGUUCCUUCGCCUGGUAUUUUGGCUCAUUCCUCUCCCUUUCUAUCCUUUCCCUGAUUCCAGCUGGUCUCUGUUCUCUAUGUAAAGCUGUCCUAAGUGCAGUGUUGUAUCGGUCAGAGUGAUGGUAAUUCUUCUCUUGGCAGUCAGUGUGUCCCAGAAUUGUUCUGAAAUAUCUCCAAAAAUAGAUCCUGUCCUGUGAUCUAAAGGGAAAACAUUUGAGACGUUUUAAAUGAAGGAAGGGAGUCUGAAUACAUGACUUUCCUUGGAUCUCUCAGGGAGCUUCACAGCAAGGCUUCUAGCCAAUUUCUAGAUAUGUAUUCCCUUUUUUGAGAAACCUCACGAAUAAAAAUAAUGCUCGACUGCUUUCCCAGGUGUUCCCUGCAUCAGUACAGAUUCUGCUGCAGGAAAAAUAAAGGCUCUCAGAGAAUGUGCUGUAGCCUGUAGGAAAAAAAAAAUAUAUUUGUAUUAUUUCUUCAUAACGUGAAUGAGAAAUAGCUCUGUUUUGAUUUUCUGGUAAUUUUCAGUGAACCCAACUUAGGAGAAGGUGAGAAUGGAAAGUCUGGAGAGCAUCAUAUGACAGUGUAGCACCAAGGCGAAGGACAAAGCAGAGAAAUGUAAUAGAACAUAUAUAAAAUGCAGUCAAUCUUUGUUAAGAGUUGUAAAACAGGAGAGAAAAAAUUAAGACUGUGGUUUGAUCACUGUAUGAGUGAGGACUGAAGUGUAGCUGAUAGAAUGUGGGGGGAAUGAACUCAGCAGAACUGAAUGCGUUGCCAGUUUUACAUUCACAAGUUCAAAGUCCUUUAUAUGUAUAGGCAAUAGGAAAAAAAAAAAAAAAAAGUUGAAAGUACAAUGUGGGCUGUGAUGCCUGUAUAUGAUUGUCCCUUCUUACCUGUUCUCUAUGAUAAAGAAUUCUCUGUAUUGCUUUUUCUUCUGUAUGUCCCUUGUUUUUUAUCCCAGCUGGCAAGAUGCAAUAAUUAAGCCAUAUUCUUGUGCUCUUUCUAUGCUUUUUUGCACUUGUUAUCAAUAGAAGUAUUGCCAGGCACCACGAUUCCACAGUGUUUGUACAUGAAAUGCAAAAAUAAACAAGUGUUGUUAAGGUAUUAGUGUGAAGAGAUUGACAACUCCAGUCUUUCAGACACGUGUAAUGGCUUCUGCUAAACCAAAGCACAUGCCUGUGUGGCUUCUCAUGUUAAAUCAGCGCGUGUCUAUUUGACGAACUGCAUGUACAAAUAAGGAAGAAAAUGAAAUUUGUUCGAUGCUUGGCCAAAGUCCUAGAAUGGUAUUUUAAAGCACCCAGAAAACAAGAAGGAGCACAUUUAGUUGGCUGUUUGCCUUAAAAAGUAAAUUGUUAUCAAGUGUUCUUAUUAGCUGAUGCUUAUAAAGCUUUGUUGGCUGGUGUUCCAAUUUCAGAGUUAACAUGCUUCUUGUGGGCUGAUGAUGUGUUGACAGUGUAAGACCUGUUGCUUUAGAGAUGAUUAGCUCAUGACUAAGGAGAAGGAAUUUCACAGAGGGAAAAAACAAAUAUACCUGUUAGAUACAAUGCAAAGUCAAGGCUUAAGUUACUCUUGUCUGAUGCCAGCUCUGUUUUAGCAAAUACUAAGACCAGGCUUGCCGUCCUCGUUCUACACCCACUCACUUGCCAACUUUAGACAAAGGCUGUAACUUACUGUAAUUCCCAAAGAAAAAUCUGCAACUUUCACAAGUCAAAAAAACACCAGCAAAAAAACCCAAACCAAAACAACAAAAGGAGUAGUUCAAUAUUUUGUGAGGUUGCACACACUGAUAUCUUAAAAUAGUGAAAACAAGGAACUUACAAAUAAAGAUUAAAUAAGUUUUGCAAAGGUGAGCAGAGAUGCUGACCAGAAUGCUGAAAGGAAUGCUGCAGCCACAAACUGUCUGUCUCCUGAGGCGUCCAUAUUCAAGUUAGACUUCACUUGCUUCAUCCUGUAGUAUUUGUAACUGCACUUCAGGCUUGAUCCAAAGACACCACUGACUUACAAAGGAAACGAAUCACCACCAUAUGGUAAAGGAGACUGUUGGGAUUUUCCAGGAGGCGUUUUGAUUUCCUAUCCUGCUGUUAAUCACAUGCUUCAAAGAAACACUUGAACAUCUGCUAGAGCUGCUAGGAUAUGAGUAUCCUGAGUUGGAAGGGACCACAAGGACCAUGGACUUUAACUUCUGGUUCACAAAGCAGCAGUCAGAAUUCAAACCUUAUGUCUGAGCCCUGGGUAGCCACUGCCCUCUGGUGCAGACCCUUUCCCUAACCCCCAGCAGCCCUCCCCUCACACAGCUCCAUGCCAUUCCCUCGGGCCCUGUCGCUCUCAAACAGCAAAGCUGAGCGCUGCCCCUCCGCAUGAGGAGCUGCAGCCACCAUCAGGCUUCCCCUCAGCUCCUCUGCUCUGCGCUGAGCAAACACAGGGAUUGCAGCCUCUCCACAUAGACGUUUCCUUUCUAGACCCUUUUUGUAGCCCUCCUUUGGACGCUUUCUAACAGUUUCAUAUCCUUCUCAUGCUGUGGCACCCAGAGCUGCACACGUGCUUGAGGUGGGCCCACGGCGUGCAGAGCACAGCAGGACAAUCCUUUCCGUCGCCCAGCUGGCAGUGCUGGGUGGGAUGCACCUGUUUCAGCCCUUUUGGCUUCUGAGUCACACUGCUGACUUUUGUUCAACUUCUUAUCAACCAGAAUCCCCAGAUCCCUUCCUGCCGGGUUGCUCUCCAGUCUCUCAUCCCCCAAUUUGUAUAUAUAUAUAUAUAUAUCCAGGAUUGCCCCAUCCAUCCCAUGUACAGAAUCCAGCACUUGCUCUUGUUGAACUUCAUGUAAUUGGCAAUUGCCCAGCCCUCCCAUUUUCAAGAUCUCCCUGCCUCUGUCAAGGCCUCUCCAGGCUCAAGGGGUCAACAGCUGUUAAUGUAGCAUUAUCUGCCAACUUAGUGUGCAUUCAAAUUCUGCAUCCGGAUCAUUGAUGAAAACACUAAAGAGAAAUGGCUCUAGAAUUUACAGUAGUAAUUAUUUUUUACAAGAUUUAGCACAGGGAUUCCCAAAGGAUGUGCUGCCCCAGCAGGCUGUGUGCUUUGUCUGCCCUCAGCAACUGAUCUUGCUCCUAGCAGAGCUAAGCAGUCCCAGGGAACUGGGAACUCAUACAGCCUACAAACUAGAGGAGAAAACUGGAAGAUAGCCAUGUGCUGCUACUUCUAGUCCACACAACAAGUUUUCUAAUCUAAUCUAAUAUCAAAAGGAACGUCAGGAAAACAGUGAUUUCUAUUUGAGUCAAUUUACUGGUUUCUCUUUGCCUCUGCACUGGCGCCUGUAAUCCUGUUCCUAAGUUCACGCUGUUUGCUACCAUCGUGCUGAAUCAUUUCUCUCAAGUAGGAGGAUAUCCAAAAAUGACAGUGGAGUUUGAAAAAUUAAGUGAGCACACCAAAAUAGGAGCUUGGGCACACAAGCUGUAGCAAUGGCAGAUUAACUGCUGCUAUCUAAAAUGUCCUUGCCUCUGCUUUCAUUGUUACUCACACGUUAUUUGGACUUAGACUGUCUUAAUGCCUUCAGUGUAGUAAGAGCUACUCAUUGCCUUUUGAAACACCGCAGGAAUGUAUCAGAUAAUACUUCAGUAACAUUACUAACAAGAAAAGGCUGUUGACAUGAGAAACAUUUUACAAGAUUUCAAGUAUUUUCCAGCUUUCAGAACAAAUGUAAUGGGUAGGAUACUAAAGCAUAGUGUCACUAAAGGCCUGUUCCAGGACGGGGCCCAUUUCAUUCUUUAACAUACACCAGUGAUCCUAGAAACGAGAAUGCUAUCUAAAGAUAGUUCUUAGAUCAGUAAUGAAACAGAUCCUUACCUCCCUGUGUAAGUAUACUACCUCUGUGACAUCAGUCUGUUGCUAAGCUAGUCUUUUCAGCUGACUUCGUUUUGGGAAUGCUUGCUAUGUGAUGACUGUGCUAAUACAUACCUUACUUAGAAGUAUAAUAAAAGAACAGAAACAAGCAUAUCCUGAGCGGUCAAAAUGCUGCAUAUUACAAGUAUCUCAGCAACAGAGAGGAAGAAAAGCAAGCACAGGCAGCUCCAACACACAGAGUUCUUUUUGGCUUUUUCUCAUGCAGCUAUCAGUCCUUAACUUCCGUUUGACCCUUGUGGAUAUAGCCUUAGAGCAGUAUAAACAGACCACGUAAGAAAUCACUGCUUUUCAGUAGUGCUUCACAGGGUACCAUAUAUUAGAUUUGAGACUAUUAAUUCUGUGCAUCAGCUUAAGAAAAUAAUUUUUCAUCAUCAGCUUAGUCUGGCAUAGAGGUUGGAAACACAUUAUAUAUGAGCCACAAUGGAGAAAUGACUGGAUUCCAAGAUUUUGACUGCAAAAUGUUAAGUUUAAGUCAUCAGAGUCUUAAGCUACUUCAACGACCAAAGUUAUUUUUAUUUUUGGAAGCGGAUUAUUGAUGACACAUCCCUCCAGCCCUAGGCAUGCAACCUCAGCUGUCUCAACAUUCCUUGCUGCCUAACUACAAAAUGCAUCUGAUGCUCUUAUAUGGUCUCUUGGCUGGAUUUAUUCAUGGCCUCCCAGUGGUUAAGAAUUUUGCACCCAGUUGCAAGUUGACUGGUCUCCUAUAGUACAACAAGAAUUGUAGGGAAAUGUGGCUGUGGAUGGUCAGCAGUAGCUGUACUUGAAAAUGCUUGGAAAUUCUCCCUCAAUAACACGUCUUCCUAAGCAAGUAUUCUCACAAUACAUUUUCCUGUGGCCACCCCCAUCAGAGAAACUGGCCAACAGCACAACACCCACACACUGCAACAAGGAACUAAACAGCUAUGCUCUCCUGUUAGCCUGGCUCUUGAGAAAUUAACAGCAGCAGACUUAAGGUUAACAACUUCCUCUCAAGGAGGAUACAAGGUUCCCUUUUACAUAGAUUUUAUUUAGAAUUGUAAAAUCACUAUUUCAAAACUUAUUUCCAGCAGAAAAAUUCAAGUGGUUUGUUUGCUGCUUACUGAGCCCAGCAUACCAACACCUAAAAUUUACUAAGAUGAUGAGAUGAGGAAAAUAAUGGCUCAGAGACUUGCUGUUUCUAAUAGAAGAGAAAACAUCUUCCAAAUCUUAAACCAUUUGGCCAGAAUUAAAAACAAA